CAGUGUCUGGACUGACGAGUGUAGAAGCCAAUUAUUCUUGCAUCACAGCAAACAUGAUUUGCACAGAACCGGGCGCAUCCAGCUGCACAGUGACGCCCGUCAUCGACACGCCAUCAGAAGGUACCAACCAAAGUACAACAGAAUAUGCCUUCUACUAUACGAUUGAUUAGAUCACAGAGAGCAGAGACAUCUGACUGAAGGAGAGCUUUGCUUUGUGAUGGAGCAGGUUAUGAGAGUGACAAGUAGCUGUUUACAUUGUGUUGUCUGUAAUAUUUUGACUAAAACAUUUUAUUUUUUCAU